rnacentral:tRNA from 4 species
GCGGGUGUAACUCAGUUGGUAGAGUGCCAGCCUUCCAAGCUGGAUGUCGCGUGUUCGAAUCACGUCGCCCGCUCCA